CAGUCGCCGCGGUAAAACGGAGGGAGCUAGCGUUGUUCGGAAUUACUGGGCGUAAAGCGCACGUAGGCGGCUUUGUAAGUUAGAGGUGAAAGCCUGGGGCUCAACUCCAGAAUUGCCUUUAAGACUGCAUCGCUUGAAUCAUGGAGAGGCGGGUGGAAUUCCGAGUGUAGAGGUGAAAUUCGUAGAUAUUCGGAAGAACACCAGUGGCGAAGGCGGCCCGCUGGACAUGUAUUGACGCUGAGGUGCGAAAGCGUGGGGAGCAAACAGGAUUAGAUACCCCCGUAGUCCCUGUCUCUUAUAA
rnacentral:rRNA from 1 species